UAGUUGCGUUUGGACUCUUGUUUUUAUUAUUUGUGCUUUCCCGCUACUUCGCGUCACUUGCAAAUACUCUCUCUCUCUCUGUCUCUCUUGCUGCAAUAUAUAUAUCUCUCUCUCCCCUCUACUCUUCCUCUUCGUUGAUUGAACCCUAUCCCUCUUCCUCAAGUCGUUCAUUGGGCUCUUCUGUUGUUGUUUAUGUCUUUUUGUCUGGUAUAUUUUAACGGUUGAUUUUAUUGAUUUAUUUAUGUGAACAAUUCUCAUGUUUCUUCGGGAUUAACGGAUGUAAGCUGUUGAUCUGGACGCUUAAUUUUUUGUGUUGUUCGGUUUAUGCUAAUUCUGAAUUUGUUUCUCUGAUGGCUUUCUGGUUCAGAGUUUUGUUUAAUCUGUUCGACUGCUGACAAAGAUGUAGGGAAUGUUAAAGGAUACCAUAAUAAUUGUUUUUUAUCCAAACGUUUUGAUUAUUUGCCUUUCUUUUAGUUAAAGAGCAUGGAAAAUGUGAAACUUUUUAUAUUCUUUUCUACUAUGCACUAAGAAAUGUUGUGAUUUUGUAGCUUUGUGGUUGUUCUUCUUUAUUUUUUUUGCGUUUUUCUGAUAUUUUAUAAUUGUAAUUAGAUAUUGUUUAAUUGAGAAAGAUUAACUCUCUCUCUCUCUCUCUCUUAUAGUUUUGUUUUCGUACUUGGAUGUGAUCAGCACCAUCUAACUUGAGUUGUGUUAUGCUUUUGUUGAUGUUCUGAGGUUUAGUCACUGAGAAAUGUUGGAGAAGUGGGAUGAAGAUGAUGAUGUUUCUUACAUCAAAAUUUUUAAAAAAAGUUAAUUUUGAUUAUAAUGUAAUUGUUUGAAUUUGCUGCGAUCACUUCACUUCUACCAUGCAGCUUCUGUCCCUUGAUGGAAAUAAGAGAUCUAUUUAAGAUGAAUCGUGGUUUUCUUUACGUGUAAUCCCCUUUAUGUUGGUUUCUUUCAAGGUAAAUAUUGUUAAUUGCUUAUCAUGAUGAAAAGGCGAAUCUGUUCGGAUGAAUCGCGGUUCUGUUUGUGUUUAAUCUUUUUGGUUGGUUUAACUUUCUAGGUGAAUCAUGUCAAUUACUUACCAUGGUGAGAAAUGGAAUAUAUUUAAGACCAAUUGCAGUUUCACUGAUCUUUAAUCCCUUUUGGUUAGUUUGAGUUUAUAGGUGGAUAGUGGUAAUACUUACCAUGAUAAGAAGGGAAUCUGUUUUAGAUCAAUUACGGUUUCAUUUGUGUGCUAUUUCUUUUGGAUGUCUAUCUUUCUAGGUGAGUCGUGUUAAUUUCUUACCAUCAUGAGAAGGGAAUUUGUUUAAUAUGAAUAACAGUUGUGUUUAUGUUUGAUCCUUUCUGUUUGUCCUAUCUUUCUAAGUAAAUUUUGUUAACUACUAACCAUAAUGAGAAUACAUGAUCACUCUGCAUUUUAACUGUGUUGUUUUGCAGUUUUUGUGUUAAAGUUGGUAGCCAAAUAAAUCAUGGUCGAAUUUACGUGUUGUCCAGAUUUAAUGAAAGAAGUUGGAUUUGGUUCAUGUUCUUCGGCUUCAGAUAGUAGCUAUGAUAGUGUAACUCCAAGAUAUUCCUCUGAUUCAAGUUUCACUAGUCAAACAACUUCUUUUUCAACAAGACGAUCUUCACAGGCAGGCUGGACAGAUGAAGAGGACAAUCUGCUGGCUGAAGUGGUUAAGAGGUUUAAUGGGAGGAAUUGGAAAAGAAUAGCUGAAUGCAUCACCGGAAGGACCGAUGUUCAGUGCUUGCACCGCUGGCAGAAGGUUCUAAAUCCUGAACUUGUCAAAGGCCCUUGGACAAAAGAGGAGGAUGAACGGAUUAUUCAGUUAGUCGAGAAAUUUGGCUCCAAGAGAUGGUCUGUUAUCGCUAAGUAUUUGCCAGGUCGAAUUGGCAAGCAAUGCAGGGAAAGGUGGCACAACCAUCUGGAUCCUGCAAUAAAGAAGGAUGCAUGGACUGAAGAGGAAGAAGCAAUACUAUCCUAUUAUCACCAAAUAUAUGGCAACAAGUGGGCAGAAAUAGCCAGGUUUCUUCCUGGAAGGACUGAUAAUGCAAUAAAAAAUCACUGGAACUGCUCAGCAAAGAAAAAGUUCGAUUUGAACUUGCCUUGUUGCUCUGAGCUGGAUUCACAGGGGAGUACUUCUGAUGGUUCCUGCAUUACUCAAAAGAGAACAAGUUCCAUUGAGCAUCAGUUGUUGUCCCAGAAAGUUCGUGAAAGAAGUGACCUUGGUCAGGAAAGGGGUCAGGAAAAUGUUGCUCAUGUCUGUUCAACAGAAUUAUCUCUUGGAAACACUAUUUUUCAUAUGGACCAUCUAGAGUCAAAAACUCAUCUGCAUGGGACCUGGCGAUCUUCAGACAAAGGGGUAGGCAAUCUAAUAAAUUCACUUGGUGGGUUCAAAGUUGGUGGCACGGAAAUUGUUCCCGCAGAUAUGCAUGGCAAUCCUUCGCCAGGUUAUGCUUUUUCCUCUGCCGUUUCUCCUGAUAAGUGUGAGAGGAUCUUUGAAUCUCCUAAGAGGACCAGGCAUGUGUCAGGCCUCUUACCAAAUACUGACUUUUUAAGUUUGUCAAGUUAUGGAUAUAGUAAGGAUAAUGGUCAGCUUAGCAAGAAAAACAAAGUUUGUAAAACUACACCUUGUCAGGAUCAUUGGCUGUCCAGCUUUUGGUGUUACGAUCCACCUCAAUGUCAAGACCUAGUCUCGGCUGAAAGUGAUGGGAUUAUCAGUCUAGACAAUCACACCACUCAUUCCAAACAUCGGCUAUUGUACUUUACCCCUCCUAGUUUAGUGCUAAAUAUUUCUGGUAACAGUAGUAGCAGUCCAGAGUCUUUGUUGAGAAACUCUGCUAUGAGUUACAAGAAUACUCCAUCAAUUAUAAGAAAGAAAAUUUCAAGAGAAGCCAGGGAUGAAGCCUCUUGUUGCAAAAACCCUAGAAAUACAACCUCAUCUUCAUCUCAGAGCAAGGAGAUAAAUAGCACAGGCUCAUCAAAAUUGGAGGGCACUUCAGUUUCCAACACUUACAAAUCUGAAACAUCAGUUGUUGGAAGAUCUCUAGAAAGACGAUUGGAUUUCGCUUCUGAUAGGGAAUGGGAAUCUACUGCUGUUAGGUUUUCCACCCCUAUCUCUGCAUCAUCAUCUGCACUUAACUCUGGAGGAAAAAUGAAUUUGACUCCUUAAAAGAAUUUAAUUGGAAGAACAGUUUUGGCCUAAUUUGGUGGACAUACUCACAGUUACUGGAAAGGUCUAACAAAUCCAGCAGCAGCAAAUGCCAUACAAGGAACAAGGCGAUCUCUAAGAAGUUAGUUUCAUAGUGGUAGUGCCAGUGAAACGCAACUGGGACGAGGAAACAACCAGCAACUUGGUAUCAGACUGAGCAGAAGAAGUAGAUUUCCUGUUUCCUCGGUUUCCCUGUGCUUGCAAGAGGCAAAACUUGAUCUUUACUCGAGUAUAGUUUCAGUUUCCAUUGGAAAAUGACUGCAAUAAAAUUUGACCCGGGGAUGAGGCAUGUCUAGUUUCAUGGAACCUUAGAAACUGUCUUUAAUAAUUAGAGAAGUUUCUUAGGCUUCUCUUCUCCAAUAAGCCCUUCAUAGUAUACCAAGGUGAAGAAUAUUGAAUACGUCGUCUUUCUUUUGUUUUUUUCAAGUUUUCCUGGAUAAUGUCUGUGGAUUGAUAUUUACUCUGUAUAUGUGUUGGUUCUGCAGUUUUAUCUGUGGCCAAUAAAUUAAGAUCAAAUUCAGCUUAUUUUGCAAAUUGCA